GUCCAUAUCACGUUGAAAUACCAGUUCCUGUAUGAUCACAAGAGUUAAACAAUGUCGAUCCUGGUCAGUACUUAGAUGGGUGACCGGUUGAGAAUACCAGGUGCUGAA